GAUGAACGCUGGCGGCGUGCCUAAUACAUGCAAGCCGAGCGAACAGACGAGGAGCUUGCUCCUCUGACGUUAGCGGCGGACGGGUGAGUAGCACGUGGAUAACCUACCUAUAAGACUGGGAUAACUUCGUGAAACCGGAGCUAAUACCGGAUAAUAUAUUGAACCGCAUGGUUCAAUAGUGAAAGACGGUUUUGCUGUCACUUAUAGAUGGAUCCGCGCCGCAUUAGCUAGUUGGUAAGGUAACGGCUUACCAAGGCAACGAUGCGUAGCCGACCUGAGAGGGUGAUCGGCCACACUGGAACUGAGACACGGCACAGACUCCUACGGGAGGCAGCAGUAGGGAAUCUUCCGAAAUGGGCGAAAGCCUGCCGGAGCAACGCCGCGUGAGUGAUGAAGGUCUUCGGAUCGUAAAACUCUGUUAUUAGGGAAGAACAAAUGUGUAAGUAACUAUGCACGUCUUGACGGUACCUAAUCAGAAAGCCACGGCUAACUACGUG
rnacentral:rRNA from 1 species